rfam:Haemonchus placei strain MHpl1 genome assembly, scaffold: HPLM_scaffold0001859
GGCACAAACUUGAAGUAGAAUAGUUGGGUAUGGUCAGGUGAUCUUACUGAUCUACUCUGCUUCAGGUUUGCGCUC